rnacentral:rRNA from 1 species
GAUGAACGCUGGCGGCGUGCCUAAUACAUGCAAGUCGAGCGAACAGACGAGGAGCUUGCUCCUCUGACGUUAGCGGCGGACGGGUGAGUAACAUGUGGAUAACCUACCUAUAAGACUGGGAUAACUUCGGGAAACCGGAGCUAAUACCGGAUAAUAUAUUGAACCGCAGGGUUCAAUAGUGAAAGACGGUUUUGCUGUCACUUAUAGAUGGAUCCGCGCCGCAUUAGCUAGUUGGUAAGGUAACGGCUUACCAAGGCGACGAUGCGUAGCCGACCUGAGAGGGUGAUCGGCGACACUGGAACUGAGACACGGUCCAGACUCCUACGGGAGGCAGCAGUAGGGAAUCUUCCGCAAUGGGCGAAAGCCUGACGGAGCAACGCCGCGUGAGUGAUGAAGGUCUUCGGAUCGUAAAACUCUGUUAUUAGGGAAGAACAAAUGUGUAAGUAACUAUGCACGUCUUGACGGUACCUAAUCAGAAAGCCACGGCUAACUACGUG